AGAGUUUGAUCAUGGCUCAGAACGAACGCUGGCGGCAGGCUUAACACAUGCAAGUCGAGCGCCCCGCAAGGGGAGCGGCAGACGGGUGAGUAACGCGUGGGAACGUACCUUUUGCUACGGAAUAACUCAGGGAAACUUGUGCUAAUACCGUAUGUGCCCUUCGGGGGAAAGAUUUAUCGGCAAAGGAUCGGCCCGCGUUGGAUUAGCUAGUUGGUGAGGUAAAGGCUCACCAAGGCGACGAUCCAUAGCUGGUCUGAGAGGAUGAUCAGCCACACUGGGACUGAGACACGGCCCAGACUCCUACGGGAGGCAGCAGUGGGGAAUAUUGGACAAUGGGCGCAAGCCUGAUCCAGCCAUGCCGCGUGAGUGAUGAAGGCCCUAGGGUUGUAAAGCUCUUUCACCGGUGAAGAUAAUGACGGUAACCGGAGAAGAAGCCCCGGCUAACUUCGUGCCAGCAGCCGCGGUAAUACGAAGGGGGCUAGCGUUGUUCGGAUUUACUGGGCGUAAAGCGCACGUAGGCGGACUUUUAAGUCAGGGGUGAAAUCCCGGGGCUCAACCCCCGGACUGCCUUUGAUACUGGAAGUCUUGA
rnacentral:rRNA from 1 species